rnacentral:rRNA from 1 species
AGGUCUCAGUUCGGAUCGUAGGCUGCAACCCGCCUGCGUGAAGUUGGAAUUGCUGUAAUCGCGGAUCAGCAUGCCGCGGUGAAUACGUUCCCGGGCCUUGUACACACCGCCCGUCACACCAUGGGAGCCGGUAAUGCCCGAAGUCAGUAGCCUAACCGCAAGGAGGGCGCUGCCGAAGGUAGGAUUGGCGACUGGGGUGAAGUCGUAACAAGGUAGC